AUACGGGAGGCAGCAGUGGGGAAUUUUGCGCAAUGGGGGAAACCCUGACGCAGCAACGCCGCGUGAGUGAUGAAGGCCUUCGGGUCGUAAAGCUCUGUCAGAGGGAAAGAAGUGUAUCGAUGCUAAUACCAUUGGUACUUGACGGUACCCUCAAAGGAAGCACCGGCUAACUCCGUGCCAGCAGCCGCGGUAAUACGGAGGGUGCGAGCGUUGUUCGGAAUUAUUGGGCGUAAAGCGCGUGUAGGCGGUUUUUUAAGUCUGAUGUGAAAGCCCUGGGCUCAACCCGGGAAGUGCAUUGGAAACUGGGAGACUUGAAUACGGGAGAGGGUAGUGGAAUUCCUGGUGUAGGAGUGAAAUCCGUAGAUAUCAGGAGGAACACCGGUGGCGAAGGCGGCUACCUGGACCGAUAUUGACGCUGAGACGCGAAAGCGUGGGGAGCAAACAGGAUUAGAUACCCCGGUAGA
rnacentral:rRNA from 1 species